rnacentral:lncRNA from 1 species
GAGGUCCAGACAGGUAGCAGAAGAGAUUCUUGUCACUGGCUCCCUGAGGGCCUGUCCAUCCAGAAUCUUUCAGAAUUUCAUCUGCAGCCUCCUGACCAUCCCCCACUGACUAUGGCAUCCACAUGAUUGACUUUCCCUCUCACCUCAUUGAUGUCCCUAAACUUUUUUGGCCCCUCCAACAGAAACCCUCUCAUCUUUUAUCUCAGUAAUCAAAAGUGCCAGAUGAAGUUCAAUAUGCCUUUUUGUUCCUCCAAAGCAUUUUCUCUCUGUCAUGGAAAGGCUGUGUCCCUCACUCCAUGGACCCUGGGACUCUCCCUAUACCCUCCAUAUCUCCAACUUGCCUCCAUGGGGCACCAGUUUUCCCAAGAAACUAAGUUCCCUCUUUCACCCAGUGCAUUUAAGCCCAACCACAGGGCACCAUGCCCUUUAGGGCUCAAGAUGAAGAUUGCCGUGUUUCCCAUCCUGGACACCAGGGGGCAGACGAGGAUAGCGGUAAACCUGGGCUGACUGGAUCUCUGCAGAGGUGAAAAGACCUUUUAGUUCCUUUUAGUGUACAGGGACUGGUGCAUAAUCCUUCCACUCUGUGCUGAAAACAUUCAUUGUGCUCCUGCUGCAAACAUGCCCCUGUAUGGUUUUCAGUUCUGAGCAUGCACAGGAUGCUUCCCAGAGUGGGUCCUCAAGAGUAUUUUUCAGAAUUUCAGUAGUUUCAGUAGCUCUUUUUAAGAGCUUUAUUGUGGAUCAUUUCCAUGAAUUAAAUUCACCCAUUUGAGCUACAAAGUUUGGUAAAUUUGAGUAAAUGUAGGAGACUAUAACCGACACCACAUCAGGUUUAGAAUGUUUCUUAAGCUCCAAAAUGUUCCCACAUGCCCAUUCACAGUUCGUCAUCACACUGACCUCUGCUCCCUGGCAAGUGCCUGAUCGAUUUCCAUUGCCAAAGAUUGCCUUUUCUAGAAUAUCAUAGCACAGGAGUCAUUUGUGACUGUGUCACUUGCAUAAUGACUUUGAGAUUCAAGUGGCAUUUCUUCCCUUUUAUUGGGGAGUGGCUUUGCAUGUACACAUCUGCACAUGUUACCAGUUGAUGCACAUCUGAGUGACUUCCAUUUGGGACCUCUAUUUAAUAAAAUGAUCUGGACAUUUUUAGACAUGACUAUGUGUAUACACAGGCUUCCGGGGUUUUUUUUUUUUUUUUU